UGCAUCGUGUGUGUGACUGGCGGUAGGGUAGGUUUUGCAGGCCCAUGUGGCGCUGCAGAUAGCUUUAUAUUUAUUUCCACGCGAUGCUCAGAUUUUUCCGGCUGGUUAGAUCUCUCAUCCCCUUCUCGCGGUGGCUGGACGGGGCGAAGAUUCGCCAUGGAUGGCCUGGAGUUCUUCGAGGAAGCCAAAUCAGGCUUGGGCUGUAAGAUGUUCUGGCAAAACACGUGCUGAAAUGUUGGACCAGGGAUGCGAGGGAUAUACUCCCACCAGAGCUUCUGCGCUGCUAGAAGAACCAAGGUCCUCUCAAGAACUCUUCGUGGUGACAUAACAAUCUGCAUCUGUUGUGUCUCAAAAUUAUCAGACUAGAUGACAUCAAUGAGAAUGCAUAUACUCUUGCUAUGGAGCAACUGAGAAAUGUGAAAAAAUAGUACUGGAACCUGUGGCGGCUAUACGCGAUGGUAUGGGGCUAUCCGACAGAGAAGUGGCAACUGAUUCUGCAGGAUUUGGUGUUGGGCAUAAACAACAUUUUGGUCUAGCAAUCCGGCGCAGAGUGCCUCACAAUGUUCAGAUAGUUUUGCGACACUGUCGAAGAAGAGGCCAGCAGGGCGGCCUACCCAAGCUGCAACAAAGCACCGUAGGAAUAGCAAGCUAAAAGGACUAGGUUCUGUUCUACAUGCAGGGUUCAAGAUCACAAGAGUACUGCAUGUCCGCAGCGGGGUGAUCUUCCAAAGGCGCUUGCUGCUCCAGAUGCAGCUUGAGAGGGCACAGGAAGAACAUAUGCACCAACCCCCCGAAAGCGGACUUGAAUGAUUGAUUUAGUGUGUUUUAAGUUGAUAUUCAGACUACAGACUCAAAAUAUCAUAAGUUUGUCUUUUGAAAAGAACACAACAUAUAUCUGUGGUGGUUUGUGUGUCA